GCCUGGUUAGCUCAGUUGGUAGAGCGCGUGGCUUUUAAGCGACUUCGAUUCGAAGCUUGCACUGAAACCUCGAAGUCACGGGUUCGAGCCCCGUAUCAGGCU